rnacentral:misc_RNA from 1 species
GCGCAGCAAUUCCACAGACAAGGAACAUGCAGCAAUGUGAUGUCCCAAAAAACACAAGCUACACGAUAUGUAUAAGGAGUUCUCUGUGAUUGUCAUAUAACCGGUCCAAAUAGAAGCCCAUUCCGCAUUAGGAACAAGUACCUGCGAAAAAGAACAAAAGUGUGCAGCUCCAGUUUAACGUACGUUGGAGCAGCAAAAACUAGGAACUCAUCACAAAAAAAUAAGCUAAGAUUAUAUGCCUUAAGCAUGGAAACUUAGUUUUUAGAGAACAAAAGGAAACCCAUGCACAAGUUGCAAUUUGUUACACUUUUACCUUGCAGCAUUCAUGAAGUACCUAACUGAAGGAAUUUGGGUCAAAGUUACCCAUGUGGUUCAACUUAGAUCCAUGUCUUUUCUAUUUGUUAAAUAAAAAAGGAAAAAAAAGGAAGAAGAGGAAUUACAUUAACUGCAUGGCAGUUACUAAAAUCCAUGCAAGGGAAAAAUUAUAUAAUAAAGCAGUAAUCUUAUGUAAAGUAUCCUACAUGAAAUAACAAUCCAAUUGUGAGUAGAUAUGCAUACAUGUGUGGAUCAUAACGAGUGAACAUAUAAACAUAGAUGAAUCCCAUAAAUCCAUAAUCACCUUGCAAUUUUUUUUCAAAAAAAAUAAUAACCAUAUAUUACUUAUGUGUCUAAUUAUCAUUUGUUUGCCACUUCAUGUCAGAUGUUGACAUGAAAUCACGGUGAUACUAUAUAAUUUAUCGAUACAAAGACAUUUCUCAUGGCCAAAAAGACAUGUCUCUUGGUAUUGAUUAUAUAUAAAGAGAAAUGACACAAGGCUUCUCUCUCUGGUUGUUGUUUUUCAAGCAGUAAAAACGUAACAGAAAAAGAUAGAGAAGGUGAAGUGCGUGUGCACUAAAUCGGCUUGGUCUUUGCUCUAGGAAACUCACAAUUCAAAUAAACUUGUGGAGCUUUCAUUUUCUGCAAUUCAAGGUACAUUUAGAAUAUGAAUUUACAAUGUUUUCCAUAUUAACUAUGUGAUCACGUUGAAGACUAUUGAUACAAAUUGAUGGAAUCCUAGAGUUUUGGCAAAAAAACAUGGAAUAGAUCCAAGUAUUUAACUUUUCUUCCCUAACAGCCAAAGACAAUAAGGAGGGCCAUAUACUGUGAGGUUAAUUAUUCCAUUAUAAUACCCACUUUCCAUUUGAUGUUGGAGGUUAUGAUCUUCCAAAUAUGUACACAACUACACAUGCCCAAACAUCCAAAUACAUUCUGUUUAUUGUACAUGUUACGCACACCUAUAAGCUAUAACCAUGGGCCAUGACUAUGACUGGAAACAAUGGAAAUUUUUAAGUAUGAAAUUCCAAUCUUAGCAUCAAAAUGUCACUCCUAUCUAUGUUUGCAUAUCGAACAGGUGCAUAAUGUUAAUAAAAAUUCUUUUAUAACAGAUCUAACUAUUCAAUCUUGCUGACCAAUUAACCAAAAAUAUUAAGAUACUUUAAAAUUCAUGAACUAACAUCAAAUUUGCUAAACAACACUAACUCCUUGUCCAAUUGUGCAUCAACAGAGCUUAUAUUGACUGGUAUAGUUGACACAAUUUAGGCCUCAUGGCCAAGAUCACUACUCAAAAGCAAUGUAGAUCUGCUUGGACUUACAAAAAUCAAAUAUUCACUCACGCUAGCACCAGAAAAGGAGUAUUUCUAAUUGACGCAGAAAAUGCAAGUCUACCAUGGUCAAAAGGUGCAAAAAAGUGUUGUGUCAAAAGGAAAAUUAAUUCUAUAACUACCCCAACUAAGUUAUCAAUAGCACUGUUUGAGCCAUCUAGUAGUUUAAAUCCACUUUUGAGCAAACAUUUUAGUAGCUGCAACAUAUCUACUUGUGGCUUGAAUUUCCAAUGCAGUCAGUACACCAAUAGUUCAACCCUCCCAAUGAUUUUGGCUAACAUUAGGGACCGAUAAGCAUAGAGUUGUGUAUAUCCAUGUAAGUAGUUCUAACUUAAUAAACAAACCCGACAUAACAUUGCCAUCGAUUAAAGAUUUUAAAAUUUUGGACCAGGAAACACAAUGUAGAUAAUGUUUCCAGCCUGGGUUAACUCGUAGUGCAUAAGCUUUCCUCUAUAAGGAGAGAAAGUACAAAGUAUAUCAGCAAGCAAACAAGCAAGGUGCACAGAGUUAUCAAAUUCCCUACAAGUCCUACCACAAAAUUGGAACUCUGUGCGCAAAAGCGUAAUCGAAUGAUAAAACAGAAGGCAAUCAACCUAAUUCAGGAAGCACUUUGAAGUAUAAAAUUCAAACUAGUAAAUAACUAUUUGCUAAACUCUUGUCAAACUUCCAUUCCCAAGUAAGACCAACUCCAUUGCCAAAUUAAUAAAGAGCUAAAAUGCAAGGAAUAACAUCA